rnacentral:rRNA from 1 species
GACCGUGCAAAGGUAGCAUAAUCAUUUGCCUUAUAAUUGAAGGCUGGUAUGAAUGGUUUGACGAGAAUUAAGCUGUCUCUUUUUAAAUAAAUAUAAUUUUAUUUAUAGGUGAAGAAGCCUAUAUUUUAUUGAAAGACAAGAAGACCCUAUCGAGCUUUAAACAAAUUGGCAGACUUAUCUUAUAUUUACUAAAAGAGUAAGGCUGUUAAAGAAUUUUGGUUGGGGCGACUGAGGAACAAAAAAAGCUUCCUUUUACCUUAGAAAUUUACUGAUAUUGAUCCAAUAAAUUUGAUUAAAGAAAUUAGUUACCGUAGGGAUAACAGCAUAAUCCUCUUUGAGAGUUCUCAUCGAAAAGGGGGUUUGUGACCUCGAUGUUGGACCAGAAUACCCAGAAGAUGCAGCAGUCUUCAAUGGUUGGUCUGUUCGACCAUUAAAAUUCUACGCGAUCUGAGUUCAGACCGGCGUGAGCCAGGUCAGUUUCUAUCUUCAAUUUUUUUAGUAAUCUUAGUACGAAAGGACCAGAUUAUUACAAGAAUAUUUGUAAUAUUUGAUUAAAUAUAAAGAAUAUUUUAAAGAGCAAUGUAUCAAAUUAGCAAAGAUUAAUGCAAUUGACUUAGGAUCAAUAGACAUAGGUGGAACCCCUUUAUUUGAUAGAUAAAG